AAUUCAGGUAUGAUGAGUAACUGUUCAUCAAUUUUCUGUUAACCCGUCAGACUUGUUGUGAGCUUCGAAACUCCAUUUUUUCUUGUUCAGCUCAACAUACUUUCUUCAUCAAAGUUGUUCCUCACCUUGUCCGCUACAACAUAUCCAAAUUUGAGAUCCAUCGGAGCAGUAAAAAUCCAGAAAUUCAGGUAUGAUGAGUAACUGUUCAUCAUUUUUCUGUCAACGUGUCAGACUUGUUGUGAGCUUCGAAACUCCAUUUUGUCUUUUUCAUCUCAACAUACUUUCUUCAUUGAAGUUGUUCCUCACCUUGUCAGCUACAACAUAUCCAAAUUUGAGAUCCAUCGGAGCAGUAAAAAUCCAGAAAUUCAGGUAUGAUGAGUAACUGUUCAUCAUUUUUCUGUCAACGUGUCAGACUUGUUUUGAGCUUCGAAACUCCAUUUUCUCUUGUUCAGAUCAACAUACUUUCUUCAUCUAAGUUGUUCCUUAUCAUCUCUUUCAUGACAUAUCAAAACUUCAGAAUGAACUAACAGUUAAAUAUUUCCAGAUCUUCGAAACAUCACAGCAGCUUUUAAAUUUGCGGGAAUCCGAUUGUCGUGUUUGGAGCCUCAACACUUUAAUUUCCGUCGCUCAAACAAAAACGAUUCCUUCUUGAAAGUUGUUCAUCUGCUCAAUAACUAUAGGGUGUCCAAAAUUCAGCUCCACUGGAGAAGAGCAAAGGUUGCAGAAAUUUGAUAGAUGAAAGGACGCGGAAGAGGAAGAGAGGGAAAGAGGUUGCUUGGGUUGGAUUUCUAGUUAAACUUGGGAUUUUGGCUUGUUGUUUGAUUUAUUAUAAUAUGUUUGGAAACAUAUACAUAAUUUCUUGUUUGUUUAUGACAGGGAUGUUGUGGGUGUAGAACAAAACAAAUGUUUGCGUUGACCCGUGUUUUUGUACAGGUUCAAGGGAAUCUUGGUUUUGUGAACAAAAUUUGUUUAUUUGUCACAAGGUUUUGUGUUUGGAAAAUA
rnacentral:lncRNA from 1 species